rnacentral:rRNA from 1 species
UACGUAGGUGGCGAGCGUUAUCCGGAUUUAUUGGGCGUAAAGCGAGCGCAGGUGGUUUAUUAAGUCUGGUGUAAAAGGCAGUGGCUCAACCAUUGUAUGCAUUGGAAACUGGUAGACUUGAGUGCAGGAGAGGAGAGUGGAAUUCCAUGUGUAGCGGUGCAAUGCGUAGAUAUAUGGAGGAACACCGGUGGCGAAAGCGGCUCUCUGGCCUGUAACUGACACUGAGGCUCGAAAGCGUGGGGAGCAAACAGG